UAGGGAAUCUUCGGCAAUGGGGGCAACCCUGACCGAGCAACGCCGCGUGAGUGAAGAAGGUUUUCGGAUCGUAAAGCUCUGUUGUAAGAGAAGAACGUGUGUGAGAGUGGAAAGUUCACACAGUGACGGUAACUUACCAGAAAGGGACGGCUAACUACGUGCCAGCAGCCGCGGUAAUACGUAGGUCCCGAGCGUUGUCCGGAUUUAUUGGGCGUAAAGCGAGCGCAGGCGGUUUAAUAAGUCUGAAGUUAAAGGCAGUGGCUUAACCAUUGUUCGCUUUGGAAACUGUUAAACUUGAGUGCAGAAGGGGAGAGUGGAAUUCCAUGUGUAGCGGUGAAAUGCGUAGAUAUAUGGGGGAACACCGGUGGCGAAAGCGGCUCUCUGGUCUGUAACUGACGCUGGGGCUCGAAAGCGUGGGGAGCAAACAGG
rnacentral:rRNA from 1 species